GUAUCUAUUUUGAGGGAUCAUUAUAGAUUUCCACAUGGUUAUGGUAACACUGAAUUUAUGUCUGAUGGAAAAGUAUUUUGAAUUUCUAAGUACAACACUUCUGCUAAAUUAUUCAACAAUAGUUGGUGAGAAAAAAAGAGAGAAAAAAUGUUAUUUUUUCCCAAGCGCCACCAUUUAAAAACGAUACUGAAAGAUAAAAUCAACAAUUCAGUAUGAUAAAAUGGUUGAUGGAUCAGGUUAUUACUUAAGUUCUGUGAGAAUCCGUUCUAUGGAGUAGUUUUUUUUUGCUGAAAGUUCAAUGGAGUAGUUGAAACAAGGUUCUACGUAUCGUCGUAAAAAAAAAAAAAAAAAUUUAUCAAAAAAAAAAGGUUCUACGUAUUCAGUUCUGGAACUAUCCUAUUCAUAAAAAAACAAUGUUUCUAUCAAAAGUCAAAACAACAUAAAAACGUUUGAGAUGGUGUUUGCGUCCACUUCAUUGUUGCAGGACACAAUUCUUAAAAAUUCUCAACGUUUGAUAUAUUUGAUUUAUUGGGAAACACUUAAUAUUGGACAUAUCCGCGUUUUUCUUUGGACAUAUUGAUCAGUUGUUGUGUCGUGAGAUCAUAAGGAAGAGUUAACUCAUCAGUAAUGCUAAUUUAUGGUUCUGGAUUCU
rnacentral:lncRNA from 1 species